rnacentral:rRNA from 1 species
CGAGCAGGUGCGAAAGCAGGUCAUAGUGAUCCGGUGGUUCUGAAUGGAAGGGCCAUCGCUCAACGGAUAAAAGGUACUCCGGGGAUAACAGGCUGAUACUGCCCAAGAGUUCAUAUCGACGGCGGUGUUUGGCACCUCGAUGUCGGCUCAUCACAUCCUGGGGCUGAAGUAGGUCCCAAGGGUACGGCUGUUCGCCGUUUAAAGUGGUACGCGAGCUGGGUUUAGAACGUCGUGAGACAGUUCGGUCCCUAUCUGCCGUGGGCGCUGGAAAACUGAGGGGGGUUGCUCCUAGUACGAGAGGACCGGAGUGAACGCACCGCUGGUGUUCGGGUUGUCAUGCCAAUGGCACUGCCCGGUAGCUAAGUGCGGAAGAGAUAAGUGCUGAAAGCAUCUAAGCACGAAACUUGCCCCGAGAUGAGUUUUCCCUGAGCACUUGAUGCUCCUGAAGGGACGUUGAAGACGACGACGUUGAUAGGCCACCUGACCCCAUGCCGAACUCAG